GUUCUUUCACAUUUCUUGGUUCAUUAUCUACUGUUUUCUAGUGAAAAAGCGAAGGUUUGUUUCAGUAUGGUAACUAUUGUAGAGAGGUGGAUGACUUGCACUCCGUGGUUAAAUAUUUCAAUGGAGAAGGCCGCAAAGUAACAGCGAUCCUUGGACAUAGGGAAGGAGGGAAUGUUGUGCUUCUAUAUGCUUCUAUGCAUCAUGAUGUUCAGACAGUCAUCAAUCUGUCUGGCUGUUAUAAUCUAAAGGAAGGCAUUGCAGAGCACUUGGGAAAGGACUUCGAGGCAGCAAUCAAGAAAUAUGGCUACAUUGAUGUUAAAAACGUAGCAGGGAACUCUGAUUACCGUGUUACGGAGAAAAGUUUAAUGGAUCUACUUGCUACAAACAUGGAUGAAGCAUACGUUCAAAUUGACAAAAAUUGCAGGGUAUUGACAGUUCAUGGGUCUGCUGACAUUAUUUCAUCCGAAGAUGCUCUCGAAUUCAACAAGAAGAUUUCAAACCACAAGUCACAUAUCAUUCAAGGAGCCACUCAUUGCUAUAUGUUAAUGUCACACCAAGACGAGUUAACGACUGCCGUCUUGUCAUUCAUAAAGGAAGAUCAGCUGCAGAAUUAGUAUACCAGGCCGUUACUUGGGAUGCCACCCUCAUUUUGAAAUUCUGGCUUUACAUAACUUGUUGAGCUGGCUGUUACAAUCUAAUUCAUUUUGAACUUCUGGCUCUGACAGCUGGUUGUUACAGUCUAACUUGUCCAAUUCAAACUAUCGGUAAUUCAUAGAAUUACUAGGCAGAUUUACAUCUAACAGGUUUAAUUCAUUGUCAUAUCCUCAACUCCCAAUCGAGUACCACUUUCUUAGAUUCAGCAGUUUGACACAUAGCUUCUUAUGUAUUCAAUUGUAAGUUUGAUGCUUUUGAGGAUAUCCAUUUGUGAGCAAAGUAGGGUUGAUUUUUG
rnacentral:misc_RNA from 1 species